rnacentral:rRNA from 1 species
GCAAGUCGAGCGUGAUUUAUUGAAGCUUGCUUCGAUAAUGAAAGCGGCGAACGGGUGAGGAACACUUGGGUAACCUGCCUUAACGUUCGGGAUAGCUUCGGGAAACUGGAGGUAAUACCGGAUGUGGUCAUCUUGUUAAUCAAGAUUGUCUAAAGGGGGCUCUUCGGAGCUCUCGCUUUGAGAUGGGCCCGGGUCCUAUCAGCUUGUUGGUGAGGUAAUAGCUCACCAAGGCUAUGACGGUUAGCUGGUCUGAGAGGAUGAUC